rnacentral:rRNA from 1 species
UACAGAGGGGGCAAGCGUUGUUCGGAAUUACUGGGCGUAAAGGGCGCGUAGGCGGCCCGCUAAGUCGAACGUGAAAUCCCCAGGCUCAACUUGGGAACUGCGUCUGAUACUGGAUGGCUUGAAUUCGGGAGAGGGAUGCAGAAUUCCAGGUGUAGCGGUGAAAUGCGUAGAUAUCUGGAGGAAUACCGGUGGCGAAGGCGGCAUCCUGGACCGAUAUUGACACUGAGGAGCGAAAGCCAGGGGAGCAAACGGG